CACGUAGGGGGCAAGCGUUGUCCGGAUUUAUUGGGCGUAAAGAGCUCGUAGGCGGCUUGUCACGUCGGGUGUGAAAGCCCGGGGCUUAACCCCGGGUCUGCAUUCGAUACGGGCAGGCUAGAGUGUGGUAGGGGAGAUCGGAAUUCCUGGUGUAGCGGUGAAAUGCGCAGAUAUCAGGAGGAACACCGGUGGCGAAGGCGGAUCUCUGGGCCAUUACUGACGCUGAGGAGCGAAAGCGUGGGGAGCGAACAGG
rnacentral:rRNA from 1 species